rnacentral:sRNA from 1 species
UAGUGAUUGGCAGAAACCUCUCCCCAUGC